rnacentral:rRNA from 1 species
UACGGGGGGAGCAAGCGUUGUUCGGAUUUACUGGGCGUAAAGGGCGCGUAGGCGGUCAGCACAAGUCCGUUGUGAAAUCUCCGGGCUUAACCCGGAAAGGUCAGCCGAUACUGCGGGGCUAGAGUGCAGAAGGGGCAACUGGAAUUCUCGGUGUAGCGGUGAAAUGCGUAGAUAUCGAGAGGAACACCUGCGGCGAAGGCGGGUUGCUGGGCUGACACUGACGCUGAUGCGCGAAAGCUAGGGGAGCGAACGGG